rnacentral:rRNA from 1 species
GACGAACGCUGGCGGCGUGCUUAACACAUGCAAGUCGAACGCUGAAGCCCGCUUGCGGGUGGAUGAGUGGCGAACGGGUGAGUAACACGUGAGUAACCUGCCCUUCACUUUGGGAUAACCUUCGGAAACGGGGGCUAAUACUGGAUAUGACUCAUGGCCGCAUGGUUGUGGGUGGAAAGAUUCUUUGGUGGGGGAUGGGCUCGCGGCCUAUCAGCUUGUUGGUGGGGUGAUGGCCUACCAAGGCGACGACGGGUAGCCGGCCUGAGAGGGCGACCGGCCACACUGGGACUGAGACACGGCCCAGACUCCUACGGGAGGCAGCAGUGGGGAAUAUUGCACAAUGGGCGCAAGCCUGAUGCAGCG